UAAAAUCUGAGGAGACCACAUUUUUUGAUUGCAAAUCAAAUAGUUUAUUUAACUUAAGAUUUU
rnacentral:tRNA from 1 species